UGAAAAGGGACAGUAUAUAUGAAAUAGUGU
rnacentral:piRNA from 1 species